GGCCGUUGCUCCGGGAGAAGGACGCCGCAGCCGCCCGGCCGCUUCCGGUGUGUCGCUGAACGCCUUCCUAGUCUCUGCGGCCGGAGGAGCUGUCCUUAGUCCGACCUGAAGGAUGUCUCUGUGUCGGAGGCGCGCUUAACCAGUGUGUGCAGAGCGCUUUACCGGCCGCAGUGCCCUUCACGCGCGAUCUUUUCGACUUCAUGACUUCCCCUGAGGCAACGGGUCGUCUGGCUCUCUUGCCGUCUGGUUAUCAGCGACAAGACGUGUGCCCCACAGUAGCACCACCCUAGUCGCGACAAUCAGAAGUGUCUCCAGAUGCUACCAAAUGUGUUCUGGAGUUUCUUUCCAGGAACAAGCUGACCAGAGGCAGGAAACACACCUACAAGAUAUUCAUCAUCACUGACAGAAGAAAAGAACAAUGAAAGAUCCUGGAGUCUGACAUGCCUGAAGGCCAACAUUUCUAAACCCCCUGCUUACUGCCCAUUUUCCCUAUAUAACUACGUCAAGAUUCCAUAAUUCUUGAAGAUGAGUUUUUUGAGACAUUAGUCAACAGUGUUCCGAUUAUGCCAGCUAAUCGAAUUAAAGCUUCCUUUCUGGAUCCCUAAUUCAUUGUGAUUAAUUGGCUCAGAUCUCGGUGAGCAGAGCAAGCCCAUUGCUCAGUGACAAUAUGUUAUGUUUGAGAUGCCAGCCAUUUCCAGAACAGAUCAUGUCAUUUCCAUGUUUGAAACAUUUGAUGAUUCUCGUUGAACCUUGUCUCCCAUGAGGCUCUUCAGAUAUGCACGUUUCCCAAUCCACUUCCUCCAUGCAAGCUCCUCUUAUAGAAGUUCAUUGCUACCUGUUCGGAGCUCUCCUUGCCAAGUGGAAGAAGUUCCCAUGCUGCCUUGAGUGGAAAGUGUUCCAGUUGAUACAGAACAGGUUGAUUAUGCAGGUGAAAAGAAAUAACCCAAGUAAUCUAAGAAGGUUAGAAGAGAUAUGAUCCAAGUACAUUAACCUUUGGUAGAGGAGAGAUGCUUCCUCCAUCUUCGCAGGAAGAAAAGAGAAGAUGAAUACAGAUGCAGAGAAGUUUGUAACUUUGACCAUGAAAAGACAAGGUCUCUGGUCUAAUAGCUUCUAUUUUCUCAAUGAAGCAUAAGGUAAGAUUGUCUCUUGACGGUUGAGGUUUAAGUA